rnacentral:rRNA from 1 species
GACGAACGCUGGCGGCGUGCUUAACACAUGCAAGUCGAACGGAAAGGCCCUGCUUUUGUGGGGUGCUCGAGUGGCGAACGGGUGAGUAACACGUGAGUAACCUGCCCUUGACUUUGGGAUAACUUCAGGAAACUGGGGCUAAUACCGGAUAGGAGCUCCUGCUGCAUGGUGGGGGUUGGAAAGUUUCGGCGGUUGGGGAUGGACUCGCGGCUUAUCAGCUUGUUGGUGGGGUAGUGGCUUACCAAGGCUUUGACGGGUAGCCGGCAUGAGAGGGUGACCGGCGACAUGGGGCCUGCGAGAGGGACCAGACGCCUACGGGAGGCAGCAGUGGGGAAUAUUGCACAAUGGGCGGAAGCCUGAUGCAGCAACGCCGCGUGCGGGAUGACGGCCUUCGGGUGGUAAACCGCUUUCGCCUGUGACGAAGCGUGAGUGACGGUAAUGGGUAAAGAAGCACCGGCUAACUACGUG